rnacentral:rRNA from 1 species
CUUUAAAUUUUUUAAGUCUAACCUGCCCACUGAAUUUUUUAAAUGGCCGCAGUAUACUAACUGUGCAAAGGUAGCAUAAUCAUUAGUCUUUUAAUUGAAGGCUGGUAUGAAUGGUUGGACGAGAUAUUAACUGUUUCAUAAUAAUUUAUAAUAGAAUUUUAUUUUUUAGUCAAAAAGCUAAAAUAUAUUUAAAAGACGAGAAGACCCUAUAAAUCUUUAUAUUUAGAUUAUUAUAAUUUUAUAGAUUUUUUUUAUUAUAAUAAUCAAUGAUAUUUUAUUGGGGUGAUAUUAAAAUUUAAUAAACUUUUAAUUGUUAAAAUCAUUAAUUUAUGAAUAAUUGAUCCGUUAUUAGCGAUUAAAAAAAUAAGUUACUUUAGGGAUAACAGCGUAAUUUUUUUGGAGAGUUCAUAUCGAUAAAAAAGAUUGCGACCUCGAUGUUGGAUUAAGAUAUAAUUUUAGGUGUAGCCGCUUAAAUUUUAAGUCUGUUCGACUUUUAAAUUCUUACCUGAUCUGAGUUCAGACCGGA